AAUUAACCAGUGCGCACGACCAUAUAAAGAAAACAAACUUCCUUUGACAAUAAGUUUCUAAUUAAAUCAUGGCUGCGCCUGGGCAGCGUUAUUGUGAGAGUAAAAGUGGACGUGCUGCUACUCUCCUCAUUCCCAACAUGUAUCAAGUACCUGCAUUAAGUAAUGCAAGAGUGAGAUGACACAUCUCAGCAAGUAAAAUAAUAUCAAACAGUUUAACCACAUAAGAACAUUGUUUUACCACCACUUGAUUCCACAACCUUCUUAUUACGAAGGUGCAGCACGUAUACAACGUACAACACACCUAGUUACCACACCUCACAGGUAGAAACCACAAUAGUAACAUAGUAAUGUCACACUUCAUAUAUUCCUCAUGAGUGCAAAUGUCUGCAAAUGCAAGGAUGACUUCUGCCUUCAUACCACUAAGGAUAUGAAGCCGCAUCGUACCCCUCCUCGGGCAACGUACGAUGCUAAAAAUGUACCGGUACGGUCGGACCAUAAGAUCACGACAUAACUUCAAAAUGCAAGAUGGAUGAUGCGAUGUGCAUGUCAUGCCUACAACACUUCAUAUAACAUGAUUCAAAAAGAUACUUCAACUUCAUCCAAGAUGGGAAUCAACCACAUAUAUCAUUACCAAAUUAUGAUCAUCCACAAUAUUAGACAAUUGAGAAUUAAUACUUCCAAACAAAUAAACUUCAUCAUAGAAUUCAAUGAUUAACAUAAUUGAAACUUAUGCAUACUCAAUGACAGGGAAUAGGAUGCAAACCAAACGGUAGCAACCACCACUGUAUUUACUUGCCUUUACCGGAAGUUCGGGCAAAUCCCUAAGUACGAUCCGGAAGUCCACCACCUGUUUUUGACACCCAACUUAGUGCACCAAUUUCACAUAAUCAGGCUCAUAAGCGACGCCGCACCUACGCACAAACUCAAACCCCGCCGCGGGUUACAUCUCUCCCUACACCCACCAAACUGCAGCGGCGCUGCUUAAUAAUUUCAUAACUUUAAAAUUAUGACAGCAGUGGUAACAAACAAAAACUCCAGAGGCAUCUACAUAAAAUUCCCCACAAGUUUUGUAUACAAUUUAUAAUUAAAUUCCAAUAUCUAAUUAGCCCAAAACAGUCCAAAAGAUGAACCCUGUAAUCUGUUUUUCUUUGUCUUUUGGACAGCGACAUACCCGGAUUCAAACAGCGAUAUCUUUUAAAAUAUAAUUCCAAAUCAAGCGCAUAAGUACUCAUUGGAAAGAUAAGACAAAUCCCUACAUGAUUAUAAUUCUGGUUAACACUAAUUACCCACGAAAAAUUCCCAGAAACUGCUAAUACCACUGCUGUUCACCCACCUGAAAAAUCUGUUUUUUUGGACAGCAACAUAACCGGAUUCAAACAACGAUAUCUCCUAAAUUAUAACUCCGAAUCAAGCGCAUAAGUAAUUGUUGGAAAGAUAACAUAAAUCCCUACAUGAUUAUUAUACUGAUUAACACUAAUUACUCCCGAAAAAUCCCCAGAAACUUCUAAUACUGCUGCUGUUCAUCCCCUGAAAAUCUGUUUUUUUUGGACAGCCACCUACCCGGUUUCAAACGGUGAUAACUUUUAAUUUAUAACUCCAAAUUGAGCGCAUAAAUACUCGUUGGAAAGGUAUGCCAAAGUUCUACAUGAUUCCCAAACUGAUUCCCCUUAAUUCUCCAUGAAAAAAGCCCAGAAAUCACUAAUUCUGCUGCUGUUCGUCCACCCCCUUAAAAUUCUGGACAGCCCUUCUAUCAAAUCGCACACGCAACAUCUAAACAAUUGGAUUGCCGCAUAAAAUGAACAAGAGAUAAACACAAAAAUAACCUUGAGUUCUCCCCCUUUUCUUCCUCCCUUCCUCCCUCCACCGAAAACCGUUGAAGAUUUGCACCACGCGACGGAGAUCCGAGCGGCAACGAAUGGCACCAUGGGAGGAGGAGAUGGGGGGCGGCGGCUAGGGUUUGAUGUGUGGCUGCAAGUGCUCGAGAAAGGAGGAGAUGGGGAGGGGGGCGGCCAAGAGGGUAGGGGAAUGGGG
rnacentral:lncRNA from 1 species